AAACGAGGCACGUGAUAUGAGGGCGGGGGCGGGAACGAGUUGGGAACCCAAAACCUCAGUUCUGAUUUUCUGUUACUUGGGUCUCUGCUGCCUUUUCGUUCUCGAACCCCGCGCAUCCAGGGAAAGGGGUUUGGAGCUAGGAACUCGGGAAGCGACUAAGUGCGUGGACUUGAGGCUGUCCGGUGGCCCCCAGCCGCCUGCCAAUCCUUUUCCCUCACCAGACUUCCCGUCUGGUCAUGGCGAGAUUCUGGGUCUGCGUAGCCGGCGCUGGCUUCUUUCUUGCAUAUCUGGUUUUACAUUCGCAUAUUUGUGGCUCUUCGCUCCCACUACGUCUUCAUUUUGCUUUUAAAUUUUCCUGGAGAGCUGAGGAAAUCCUUUACCGGCUGGAUGUGGAUUGGCCCACGUAUUCAGAAUACUUUACUGGAGCAACAUUUUGUGUUGCAGUUGAUUCCCUCAACGAAUUGGUUUAUGUAGCCCAAAGAGGGGAUAACAUCCCAAAGGUAUUAGUGUUCACAGAGGAUGGAUAUUUCCUACGAGCCUGGAAUUACACAGUUGACACACCUCAUGGCAUAUUUGCAGCCAGUACACUACAUGAACAAUCCGUCUGGAUCACGGAUGUAGGAAGUGGAUCGUAUGGUCAUACCGUUAAAAAAUACAAUUCCUUUGGUGAUCUUGUUCAAAUUUUGGGAACACCAGGCAAAAAAGGCACUGGUUUGAACCCCUUGCAGUUUGAUAACCCUGCGGAAUUAUUCGUAGAAGACACGGGAGAUAUUUACAUUGUAGACGGAGAUGGAGGAUUGAAUAACAGAUUGAUCAAAUUGUCUCAAGAUUUCAUGAUCCUCUGGCUACGUGGAGAAAAUGGGACAGAACCCGCUAAGUUCAACAUCCCUCACAGUGUGACGGUUGAUUCCGUUGGUCGGGUGUGGGUAGCUGACCGAGGCAAUAGAAGAAUUCAGGUGUUUGAUAAAGACACCGGGGAGUGGUUAGGAGCCUGGAAUGAUUGUUUCACUGAAGAGGGGCCAUCCGCAGUCAGAUUUACCCCUGAUGGGAAGCGUUUGAUUAUAGCCCAGCUGAAUCUAAGCCGCCUCUUAAUCACAGCGGCGCCGCCGGUCGGAAACAUCGGUAACUGUUCUGUGAUCAGCACCAUCCAGCUAGCAGAUCAGGUCUUACCUCAUCUCUUGGACGUCAGUCAGAAGACUGGAGCCAUUUACGUGGCAGAAAUCGGAGCAAAAAUCAAUUUAAUAUUCAAAAAGGAGGACACUUCGAGGAUUGAUUGAAAACAGACCAGGGACACAUGAAUCCUGGCCCUGGAUGGUUAAAAGUGCCAGAAGCAAGCUUGCUGUUCAGAUGGAAAAAAGAAAGACUAGUUGUGUGCAUUUCAGAAGGACCUCAAUACCUAUGUCUAUGGCUAGCUGAGAAGACAGAAGCCUCGUCUCCCACUGAUGUUCAUUCUCAUGGCUGAAGAAAAAGAGGAAUGAAAGCAAUCAAGAUAGGAAAGAUGAAGGAAAGUCAAUAAAACAGCAGAAGCUUAAAUCUUGGGGGCCCUUAAUUGGCAGGGUUGGUGUGGCGAUGGUGUAGAUACUCCUCCAUCCAAUUCCUUCGGAUCCCUCUGCUGGUUCCAUCCUCCAUCAGCUUCUGGCUGCACUUUGAUUCUAACAGCUUAGAUUUGCAACUCUCUUCUGAGGCCUGGUGAGCCGGGACCCAUUUUGCUCCAACUCUCAGAAAGUGGAAGUACCCCUGGCGUGACCUACGAUGGGCUGAUGGGGAGUCUGAAAGCCCACAUUCUUGCCUCCGGGUGGCACAAACUCUGCAGUGCCAUGAAUGUUCCAGAGCUCCUGCGAGCUCAGGCGGAGGCUGGGGCCUCCCCUGAAACUGCCUCCUUGCGUGGUGCCUACGCCUCUCUAUCUUGGUUUCCCAUUACUGGUUUCUCCUGGGCUCAUUUCCUUGAUCCCCUGAACAUGAAUCCUCAUCUCAGGGGUUUUGCUUUGGGGAACCUGGUCUCAAACAAAAGCAAAUGAAUGAUCUUUCUUGCUUUUCUUUACUGUAAUCAGGGUCUGUGAAGUUUCUUCAGUUGUCAGGGCUUAACCCACCUACCCACCUACCCAUCCAAACGCUGCCAUCCCCUGAAAGACCCGGAGCCGAGACAGAGUCUUCAGCACACCCUCCCUGUGCUACCAUCUUCCUGGGGCCAAUCUAGCGCCUUACCUGCUCAAUGUGUAUGUGUCAUUUCUGAGAAUGGUUAUGUUCUGGAGCCUUUCUUGUUUGUGUCAUAAACCAUAAAAUUCAUCAGACCAACUGUCUAGCAGGUGAAACAGAAAGGCAGGACACCAAAGAAAGGUACUUUAAAAGUGUACCUCAGUAGAAAAUGUCUGAGGCCAUCCCGCCGUAUUGGUACUAAUUACACACAUGUGCCUGUUUAUGUGUGAUUUACACAUUUUUUGGUUUAAAUUUAGCAACUGGCUAAGAUCCAAAAUGAGCAACUAAUGUUGUGUGAUUUAAAAGAAAAUUAUUCCUCUAUUUCAGAUGUGAAAGUUUAGGUUUGCUAAGGAAUUCAUAAAGUAAUUUGUAAAUAAAUCAAUAUGGAUUUCUUCUGGUAUUUUGCGUUAUACAGAGAUAUAGCCAGUCCCUCAGUUUAACCUCAAAAAAUAUACAUACAAAGGGCAUACACCACACACACACACACACACACACACACCUUUUGAGAAGCAAGAAAUGGUCAAGAUCAGCAGUAAGAUCAAGAGAUGUCACUAAGAUUUGGGCGAAUCUGGAGAGACACUAUGUCAUCCGUCCCCUGAUCCUUGACUCCCUUCUUCCCACCCCUCCUUCGAUACAUUCACUAAUUUGACAAAUACUUGUUAACAUGUCCACCCCAACUGGAAGCCUCUGGGUACCAGGGAUUCACUUUGGAAAAAGAUAAAAGUCCGUGCUAUCCAAGAACUGUGGUCCAGUCAAGGGAGUAUAAACAGUAACUACUCAGAUACUUAUGUGAUGGUAAUUGUGACAUGUGCUUGGAAGAGAAAAAAACACCCAGGACGCUAAGACAGCCAAUCGCAAGGAAUUGUAUACGGUGCGGUCUGUGAACGGGCGUUUUCGAUUAGCAGGGACAUUUAAGCUGAGGCCUGGCAGAGGAGCAGGGGCUAGCCACGAGAGAAUGUGGGAGGCUGGGGGAGCGCACUGCCCCAGGGGGAUGGGAAACGUAACAGAGAAAUGUAGGCAGAUUUGGGUCUUGUUCAGAUACAGUACUGUUCAGGCGAGAGAUGGCUGUCACUGUGGGUGUGGGUGAGAGAUGGGCUGGCGACCAGCUGCAGAGGUUAAGCGCUGGAAGGCAGGAGACUUCCUCUUUAGGAUGUUCAGCUCCACUGGUACCUGGAAAUAUGAGACGGUCAACAUCCAUCCGUCAAUCUUCUGCAGCCACGCUGCGCUGCACCGUUACAGGGGAUCCAGGAGAGAAUGCGAUCGCGUCUUUGGUCCCACGAAGCUUAUGUUCCACUAACACCAAUUCUGGAGCAUCACUGAGAUGGGCCGCAUUAUUUUGAAAUCAUUCCUUGUCUAUUUUACACAUAUGUCUGUAGCAAUUCAGUUGAAUGAAAUUAACUAAAGAAGGGAAUUUUUUCAUUAAAUUAUAAAUGUAAAUGUCUCUUGAACUUCUCCCCCAAAAAGGAAUAUAUUUUUUCUCUCUGAGCAUGAUUCCUUCCAUUGUUAACGAAAGUUGGAACUAGAGGAAUAAGAAAUUAGCACUGUUUUUCACAGUAAUAAGAAGAAAAGUCUUUUUGAGUACAUUAUGAUGUUAGGGAAGAGCAGAUGUUUCAGUUUGUAUGUUUUAAGGUCCAAGAGUAUUAAUGGAGCUAAAUGAAACCAGGAAAUACACGAUCAUUCUUCCCUGGCCUCUCUCUUCCCCUGUCCUGGCAAUAAAUUCCCGUUCUUGUGAUGCAAGCAGAAAGCAUUUUACUAGCGGGCAAGUUUUGUCUGUAUUCUUUCAGGAAAUUAGAGAAGCAAAUCUGUUGCAGCUUUCCCUUUUGCUCUCUGUAAUGCUCCAUCAAACAGGACUCCAAGAUCACUGGGUUGGCAAACGGUGGCUUUCAACAAUCGGGAUGCCAUUCUUGACAGAUAAAAUAGAGGUUAAUGGGACAGAAAGCAGCCAACCACAGCCACCUGCAAAAUCAAUGGAAAAAGAUGUCCUGGCUGCAUUCCAGGGCAGCCCCAGAGAGAAGAUGGGGGGAGAGGCGUGGCUGUUUUUCAGGGUGGCUCAAAUUCAUUUUUAGUGCGACUUUCCUUAGUAAUAGAAAGAGAAGAAAAGGCAUGGGGAGCCCAGUCUUACGACAAAUUACACUGAAAUUUCAGUGAUAGUUCGUUUUUGGAGAACAUGGUAUCACUUGUUCAUUUGUUUGAUGAACAUUCCAGAGCCGACCACGCGACUGCCUGUCUCACUCCCGUAUCCCAACAUUCAGUACGAUGCCUGGACCACAGCAGACAAUUGAUACACGUUUGUGGCGUGAAUUCAUGCCAGACACUAUGCUUGUGCUGAGAACAGAGAUCUGAAAUUAAUAAUUAUAUACUAGCUGUCCUGGAUAGCCUGUGAGCCGGGCGAGAAACAGUUUAAAAGCAGCAUCUCAUUUAACCAUUUUUGCCUUUGAUGCUUUCAGGAAAUUAGAGAAGCACCUCUGUUUACCCUUCCCCAAUGUCCUUCCUUUUGAGGUGUAGACAUUGAGUUCCAUGCAAGAUAAGUCACUUGCCCAGUAACUCAAAUUAUAUGACGAAGCUUGAACUUGAGUCGGUUCCAGCACUUUGUCCUGUGCUCAGAUAGUGUCUCAGGAAGCUCUCUAUCAAAUGUAUGUUCCCCAUGUGUCAGACAGUACUUGUCUUUGCUAGAACUUCCAUGCCACGAAGAAAUAAAACAUGUUCUGCAUUUUUGAAUUCACCAGUCUCAGAAGGCUUCAGGCACCCGUGUCUACCUUGCACAAUCUAGUUAUUAAACGCCUGCAUCUUGCAGACUUGGCACUCCCUCUCCAGGGGCCAAUGCAACCCAACCGGCACUCUCUUGGCAACACCAUCCCCUCUAGGGGACGUGGGGUGGUGUGGUCCAGUGAACUUGCUUGAUCAAGUCAGAUAACUGAUUCUUUCUGGGUGAGAACUGGCUAUGGACAUGCUCACUAACUGGGUGUUUUGUUUUUCUUUUUAGGGCCACACCUGUAGCAUAGGGAAGUUCCCAGGCUAGGGGGUGAAUGGGAGCUACAGCUGCAGGCCUGUGCCAUAGCCACUCAGGAUCCGAGCCAUGUCUGUGACCUACAUCAGAGCUCACAGCAGCGCUGGCUCCUUAACCCACUGAGCAAGGUUAGAGAUUGAACCUGCAACCUCAUGGAUACUAGUCGGGUUUGCUACCACUGAGCCACAAUGGGAACUCCCCCAAACUGGGUGUUUUUGGUGUGUACCCCCUGUCUGAGCAGAGCCGAGGAAGGGCUCCAGGUCCUGGGCCCACCCCUGAUCCCCUCCACCUGUAAACCUCUAGCAGGCUGGCGGGAGCUGCCGUGCCAUCCUCAGUGGUUACCCAGAGGCUUUGCCACAGCGCCUCCCACUGGGCACAGGGCUGCUCAUUUAAGCACAAAACAGGGUCACCCCGGUCAUCCUGCCCUCUGACCAAUGCCUAAUGCAAACCUCCAUGUGUGCUCAGCCUUCCUGUGCCCUGCACUUGAACCUGAGUCCCCUGGUUCACUUCUUUCCUCACGGGGUCACUGCUGAGUUCCCAGCCCUGAGUCCAGAAAUAAGCCAUCUGCCAUCACUUAUCAAGGCAGAAUACCUUUCAUCUGUGAUGUUUUAAAAUCUGCAGCAUGUUAAGAUAUCAAUGAAAAGUCUAUGUAGAAAAGAAGCAGGUGAAUUCAACUUCAUUCCCUUUUGCUGUACAAAUAAUGAAGGCAGGAAGGUGGAAGAAGCAUCGGUGAAGAGAGAAAACUUUUGUAUUCCUAAAUACCUUGGACAGAAAAGUUUGAUGGGGCCUUCUCCUCCUGAAUAAAUUCCCUCCUACCUCUUCACAUGCAGACCAGCUUGUCUGCCUACACAUUAAAACCAAGAACAAAAACAAUCUCUCAUGGGAUCAAUGCCAUUUGUUCUUUUGGGAUGUCACUGAACAAAGAUGAUUCUAGUAAAAACAAAAUAAAACAAACAAACAAAAAAGAACCAUCAUGUUUUAAAUAUUUGACCUAAAACAUACAGAAGCUUUCAUUCAAACUCAUAACAGAACAAGUAGUUAAAAUGAUACCUGUCUGAAGAGAGAAGAGCAGAACUCAAAACUUUAAAAAAAAAAAAUUACAAGAACUCGAACUUGAUUGCUGAGCAAAAAAAAAAA